rnacentral:rRNA from 1 species
GGGGGCGGGCGGCAGCUACCAUGCAGUCGGGCGGUAACAGGAAAGCGCUUGCGCUUUUGCUGACGAGCGGCGGAGGGGAGUAAUGUCUGGGGAUCUGCCCGAGGGCGGGGGAUAACCACUGGAAACGGUGGCUAAUACCGCAUAAUGUCGCAAGACCAAAGUGGGGGACCUGAAAGGGCCUCACGCCGUCGGAUGAACCCAGAUGGGAUUAGCUGGUAGGUAGGGUAAUGGCCUACCUAGGCGACGAUCCCUAGCUGGUCUGAGAGGAUGACCAGCCACACUGGGACUGAGACACGGCCCAGACUCCUACGGGAGGCAGCAGUGGGGAAUAUUGCACAAUGGGCGCAAGCCUGAUGCAGCCAUGCCGCGUGUAUGAAGAAGGCCUUCGGGUUGUAAAGUACUUUCAGCGGGGAGGAAGGGUUGAGCCUGAACAGGGCUGGGCCUUGACGUUACCCGCAGAAGAAGCACCGGCUAACUCCGUGCCAGCAGCCGCGGUAAUACGGAGGGUGCAAGCGUUAAUCGGAAUGACUGGGCGUAAAGCGCACGCAGGCGGUCAAUUAAGUUAGAUGUGAAAUCCCCGGGCUCAACCUGGGAACGGCAUCUAAGACUGGUUGACUGGAGUCUCGUAGAGGGGGGUAGAAUUCCAUGUGUAGCGGUGAAAUGCGUAGAGAUGGGAGGAAAACCGGGGGGCGAGGGCGGCCCCCCUGGAGCGAAA